rnacentral:rRNA from 1 species
UACGGAGGGUGCAAGCGUUAUCCGGAUUCACUGGGUUUAAAGGGUGCGUAGGUGGGUUGGUAAGUCAGUGGUGAAAUCUCCAGGCUUAACUUGGAAACUGCCAUUGAUACUAUCAAUCUUGAAUACCGUGGAGGUCAGCGGAAUAUGUCAUGUAGCGGUGAAAAUGCUUAGAUAUGACAUAGAACACCAAUUGCGAAGGCAGCUGGCUACACGAAUAUGACACUGAUGCACGAAAGCGUGGGGAUAAACAGG